rnacentral:rRNA from 1 species
UGGGGAAUCUUCCGCAAUGGGCGAAAGCCUGACGGGGCAACGCCGCGUGAGUGAUGACGGCCUUCGGGUUGUAAAACUCUGUGAUCCGGGACGAAAAGGCAGAGUGCGAAGAACAAACUGCAUUGACGGUACCGGAAAAGCAAGCCACGGCUAACUACGUGCCAGCAGCCGCGGUAAUACGUAGGUGGCAAGCGUUGUCCGGAAUUAUUGGGCGUAAAGCGCGCGCAGGCGGCUUCCCAAGUCCCUCUUAAAAGUGCGGGGCUUAACCCCGUGAUGGGAAGGAAACUGGGAAGCUGGAGUAUCGGAGAGGAAAGUGGAAUUCCUUGUGUAGCGGUGAAAUGCGUAGAGAUUAGGAAGAACACCGGUGGCGAAGGCGACUUUCUGGACGAAAACUGACGCUGAGGCGCGAAAGCGUGGGGAGCAAACAGGAUUAGAUACCCUGGUAGUCCACGCCGUAAACGAUGGAUACUAGGUGUAGGAGGUAUCGACCCCUCCUGUGCCGGAGUUAACGCAAUAAGUAUCCCGCCUGGGAAGUACGAUCGCAAGAUUA